rnacentral:rRNA from 1 species
UACGAAGGGGGCUAGCGUUGUUCGGAUUUACUGGGCGUAAAGCGCACGUAGGCGGAUCGUUAAGUCGGGGGUGAAAUCCUGGAGCUCAACUCCAGAACUGCCUUCGAUACUGGCGAUCUUGAGUCCGGAAGAGGUGAGUGGAAUUCCGAGUGUAGAGGUGAAAUUCGUAGAUAUUCGGAGGAACACCAGUGGCGAAGGCGGCUCACUGGUCCGGUACUGACGCUGAGGUGCGAAAGCGUGGGGAGCAAACAGG